rnacentral:misc_RNA from 1 species
GCUGAAGAACGUAGCGAAAUGCGAUAAGUAAUGUGAAUUGCAGAAUUCAGUGAAUCAUCGAAUCUUUGAACGCACAUUGCGCCCGCCAGUAUUCUGGCGGGCAUGCCUGUUCGAGCGUCAUUUCAACCCUCAAGCCCUGCUUGGUGUUGGGGAUCGGCGUUGCCUCCUCCGUCGUUCGCGGCGGGGUGAGGUCGCCGCCCCCGAAAUGAAUUGGCGGUCUCGUCGCAGCUUUCCUUUGCGUAGUAACAUACCACCUCGCAACCAGGAGCGCGGCGCGGCCACUGCCGUAAAACGCCCAACUUUUUCAAGAGUUGACCUCGAAUCAGGUAGGAAUACCCGCUGAACUUAAGCAUAUCAAUAAGCGGAGGA